rnacentral:rRNA from 1 species
AACGAACGCUGGCGGCAUGCCUAACACAUGCAAGUCGAACGAGACCUUCGGGUCUAGUGGCGCACGGGUGCGUAACGCGUGGGAACCUGCCCUUAGGUUCGGAAUAACUCCCCGAAAGGAGUGCUAAUACCGGAUAAUGUCUUCGGACCAAAGAUUUAUCGCCUUUGGAUGGGCCCGCGUUGGAUUAGCUAGUUGGUAGGGUAAAAGCCUACCAAGGCGACGAUCCAUAGCUGGUCUGAGAGGAUGAUCAGCCACACUGGGACUGAGACACGGCCCAGACGCCUACGGGAGGCAGCAGUGGGGAAUAUUGGACAAUGGGCGAAAGCCUGAUCCAGCAAUGCCGCGUGAGUGAUGAAGGCCUUAGGGUUGUAAAGCUCUUUUACCCGGGAUGAUAAUGACAGUACCGGGAGAAUAAGCUCCGGCUAACUCCGU